rnacentral:rRNA from 1 species
UACGAAGGGGGCUAGCGUUGUUCGGAUUUACUGGGCGUAAAGGGUGCGUAGGCGGCCCUGUAAGUAUGGUGUGAAAUCUCCCGGCUUAACUGGGAGGGUGCGCUAUAGACUGCGGGGCUCGAGUGUGGGAGAGGAAAGUGGAAUUCCUGGUGUAGCGGUGAAAUGCGUAGAUAUCAGGAGGAACACCGGUGGUGUAAACGGCUUUCUGGACCAUAACUGACGCUGAGGCACGAAAGCGUGGGUAGCAAACAGG